rnacentral:rRNA from 1 species
UAGCUACAGGCUUAACACAUGCAAGUCGAGGGGCAGCAUGUUCUUAGCUUGCUAAGGCCGAUGGCGACCGGCGCACGGGUGAGUAACACGUAUCCAACCUGCCGUCUACUCUUGGACAGCCUUCUGAAAGGAAGAUUAAUACAAGAUGGCAUCAUGAGUCCGCAUGUUCACAUGAUUAAAGGUAUUCCGGUAGACGAUGGGGAUGCGUUCCAUUAGAUAGUAGGCGGGGUAACGGCCCACCUAGUCUUCGAUGGAUAGGGGUUCUGAGAGGAAGGUCCCCCACAUUGGAACUGAGACACGGUCCAAACUCCUACGGGAGGCAGCAGUGAGGAAUAUUGGUCAAUGGGCGAGAGCCUGAACCAGCCAAGUAGCGUGAAGGAUGACUGCCCUAUGGGUUGUAAACUUCUUUUAUAAAGGAAUAAAGUCGGGUAUGGAUACCCGUUUGCAUGUACUUUAUGAAUAAGGAUCGGCUAACUCCGUGCCAGCAGCCGCGGUAAUACGGAGGAUCCGAGCGUUAUCCGGAUUUAUUGGGUUUAAAGGGAGCGUAGAUGGAUGUUUAAGUCAGUUGUGAAAGUUUGCGGCUCAACCGUAAAAUUGCAGUUGAUACUGGAUAUCUUGAGUGCAGUUGAGGCAGGCGGAAUUCGUGGUGUAGCGGUGAAAUGCUUAGAUAUCACGAAGAACUCCGAUUGCGAAGGCAGCCUGCUAAGCUGCAACUGACAUUGAGGCUCGAAAGUGUGGGUAUCAAACAGGAUUAGAUACCCUGGUAGUCCACACGGUAAACGAUGAAUACUCGCUGUUUGCGAUAUACUGCAAGCGGCCAAGCGAAAGCGUUAAGUAUUCCACCUGGGGAGUACGCCGGCAACGGUGAAACUCAAAGGAAUUGACGGGGGCCCGCACAAGCGGAGGAACAUGUGGUUUAAUUCGAUGAUACGCGAGGAACCUUACCCGGGCUUAAAUUGCAGAUGAAUUACGGUGAAAGCCGUAAGCCGCAAGGCAUCUGUGAAGGUGCUGCAUGGUUGUCGUCAGCUCGUGCCGUGAGGUGUCGGCUUAAGUGCCAUAACGAGCGCAACCCUUGUUGUCAGUUACUAACAGGUUCCGCUGAGGACUCUGACAAGACUGCCAUCGUAAGAUGUGAGGAAGGUGGGGAUGACGUCAAAUCAGCACGGCCCUUACGUCCGGGGCUACACACGUGUUACAAUGGGGGGUACAGAGGGCCGCUACCACGCGAGUGGAUGCCAAUCCCCAAAACCUCUCUCAGUUCGGACUGGAGUCUGCAACCCGACUCCACGAAGCUGGAUUCGCUAGUAAUCGCGCAUCAGCCACGGCGCGGUGAAUACGUUCCCGGGCCUUGUACACACCGCCCGUCAAGCCAUGGGAGCCGGGGGUACCUGAAGUGCGUAACCGCGAGGAGCGCCCUAGGGUAAAACUGGUGACUGGGG